UAGUGUGGUAAUCCACUCAGAUAAAUUUACAAGAACUUAGAUUCUAGUUAAUGUAAUUCAGAGAAAUCUUCAUAAACUUGGGUUAUAAUUCAUACUUAAGCACAUCUCUAUCAUCAUAUUUUUCUUGGAUUCCAAAGCAACGAAUGACUUUUGAGCUGUAAACAUUCAAAUUGAUGUGACCCUGCAAAAAAAACUAACCAAUAGCUUCACUCAAAAGUGCUCAUCUACUCAGAUUCCAUGACAACUUUUAACAUCAUUGUCUGACAUGAAUUGGAAUAUAUACAUGAAAUCAAAGUAUAUUGACGUAUAUACAAUUGAAAUAUAUACAUGAACUCAAAUUAUAUUGACGUAUAUACAACAAUUUGCAGAGGAAUAGCAUGUAGAAUGUACGGGGCUUAGCAGCUAGUGUUGUUAUCUUCAUUGGAAUAGGAUCCAUGCCUUUGUCCUAAAAAGCUCCAGCCUAAGAUAAAAUGCCAAAGUAAAGGAAUUCUGAUUGCAGAGAAUAUGAAAAGAAUGGUUUCUUUGAAGCAAAGUGAUUCAAAUGAUAGUUUUGUAGAGGUUAAUGAAAGAAUAAACUAAAUGGUACUAUUUCUUUUUCAGCUGGGCAUUUUUCUUUUUUAGCUCAUUUGGGUAUUUAAAAGAGCCGAGUUGCAGAUCUUGUAUGAGAGGCAGCUGGAGUUAGAGCUAUUGCAUUUGACAGUGAACUUGAGAAGAUAAGAGGAGUUUCAAGGCACACAGAGAAAGCAAAACAAGGUGACUUUUAGGUACUGAUUCAUAGAACAAAAAAUAUUAACAUUUGCUAAAAUUUUCAUAAAUUUUGACAGGGUUAGAAAGGGUUUUGGGUGAUUCAUUACUAUGAAGUUCUUGUUCCAGUUACCCUGCUGCUCUUGCUUUUGUUUUAUGAGAGCCAAAAAGAAGAAGAAAGAACAGCCAGGCUCCCCAAGCAAGAAUGCUACUGUACCUGUUCCUGAAGGCUAGGGAACAUUAAUAUCCUCAUUAUUUUAUGGAUUCCUUAUGGAAGUAGUAUAUUUAUGCUUUGUUGUUAGGGUUAGUUUUCAAUUUGGAGCAUAAGUAAAAGAUUAAGGGAUUUCAUAGUAUGUUUUAAGCAUGUAGAAUGCUUCUCUAUGGGAGAAAAAUUCAUGUAGAUGGACAAUUGUUAUAAUAGAGUUUGAUUGUUCUUUUGGGCUUUUA